rnacentral:rRNA from 1 species
CGAGGCGAACCGGGGGAACUGAAACAUCUAAGUACCCCGAGGAAAAGAAAUCAACCGAGAUUCCCCCAGUAGCGGCGAGCGAACGGGGAGGAGCCCAGAGUCUGAAUCAGUUUGUGUGUUAGUGGAAGCGUCUGGAAAGUCGCACGAUACAGGGUGAAAGUCCCGUACACGAAAGCACACAGGCUGUGAACUCGAAGAGUAGGGCGGGACACGUGGUAUCCUGUCUGAAUAUGGGGGGA